UUAAUUUUACCAGUGUAUUUUUGGUAAAUAAUUGUUUCAGAUAUAAUGAUGGUUAUUAAUUGUGUGAACAGGUUCAAAAGUGCAAGGUUGUUGCUAUAAUCUAUGCUAUAGAUACUGAUUAUGCAUGGUAUUAUUUUGGAUGUGAUGCGUGUCAACACAUGACUUAUAAAGUCCUCGAGCCAGAUAGCAACACCCCUAUCUAAACGAAACCAUUGUUUUGGUGUGAGAUCUGCAAAAAGAAUGUGACAAAUGUUGCACCAAAGUAAUAUUUAUAUACUUAUAUGUUUUGGAUAUGUUUCAGUAUAUCAGUUUAUGCUUAUGUUUAUUAUAUGCUUUAUGUGACCUUAAUAUUAGGUUUAAACUUCAUUUGAUACAGCUGAAGCAAAAUUUAUUCUUCUUGAUUGGGUUGCAAUGCCAGUUAUAGGAGUAAAAGUAGAAAAAAUUCUAAAUGGUUCUUUUGAUGAGGUUGAAGAUCCUGCAUUGUUGCCUGAGUGUAUUAAGGAGAUUGUUGGGAAGACUUUUAGAUAUGGAAUUACAUUCGACAAAGGUGGUGAUACCAAGUUUAAGGUCCUAAAAGUCUGGUCAGUUUACAACACUCUCAUGGUUGAUUCCCAAUCUGAAACAAUGUCUGGAAAGGGAACCACAGCAAUCUCAGGAUCUGAGGGAUCUCUUUUAAGUUAGAGUGAUGAAAGCUCUAGCAAGAUGACGACGCCUUCAAAGCGAUCAUGUUAUGACAUUAUAGACCAUCCGGACACCACAUCAACUUCAAAGAUUCGCCCUAUGAAAAUUAUCAAGAUUGAGAAGAUGAGCAAUGAAGAGUUUGAUCUUACAAAAGAAUAACUAAAGAAGGAGAAUCUUUUUCAGUGUCUCAAAUUUUUUUUUUUUUUCUUUCUAAUAAGUGUUCUCGCAACACAAUGUUUUAGAUCUUGGUUAGUCAUGUUUGGUCUUUUAAAACGUUCCAUUAUAUGUGAUUUUUAAUAAUAUGAUUUUUUUUAUAUUGUCUCAUUAAAUUUAUAUGUGAGUUCUCAUAAUAAUAUAUUUCUUAUAUACUUUGUGUAUAUAAAAAAUUUAGAUAAACUAGAUCGUUUUUCCGCGCUACGCGCGGAUAUAUACUUUUAAAUUUAUUUAUUUAUAUCAUAUUUUAUCACAUGUAAAUUAUUAUCUUAAUUUUAGAAUAAUUGUGUUUAUUUGAUCAUUUACAAUUUACUAUUGCCGUGAGAAAAAUCUAAUCAUUUUCUUUCAUAAAAAAAAAUUUUCAUUCUCUCUUCCAUUAUCCAUUGUUACGCUUCUUCUCUGAUUCCGGUUACUCCCUUAGAGCUGGAGUUGGAUCUUUGAUUUUGGUUUUUUAUCAUAUUUUGUCAACUGAGAUCAUCUGAUUUUCUUCAUGUUCUUCUUUUUGGGUAACUUAAUCAAGUUUUGAUUUUGUCUUUUCAGGAGAUUAAUGAGUUUAUUGAUGAUCUCAAUGCAAUGUUCAUUGAUCUUCUUUGCUUGAUAUAGCUAGUUAAAGCAGGUUGGGUUUUCUUACCCUCUAGAUCUGAUUUUAUCUUUGAACCCAUGUGUUGUUUUGUUUGUGUUGCAUGUCGUCUCUGAGCUUUCUUUGGGUCACUAUUGGUUUCGAUCUUUCGAGCAAGUUUGAACUCGAUUGUGAGUUGUUUCGGUCCUUUUCAUUACCCUUAAGAUUUGAUCAAAAUCUCUUCUUCCGUCAAGCUUUACAUAGUGUUUCGAGUUCUCUUCUCUGUCUCUGCCAUUCCGGUUGACGACUAAUGAACUUAAUUGUUCUGUUUCCUGGUGUAUGAAACUUUGGUCUUUAUAUUGCAUGUGCUAUUCUAUAUAGCAGGAGACGCAAGCCAGAGGUCCUAGUCUGGAGUCCUCGCCUUGUCUUUGUUCAAAGGAGCUUUAUUGUAGUCAACAUGCAUUGUUUUGUUCUUGGUUUCUUAUGAUUUGAUCCUUGUUUAUUUUAACUUUGAUUGGUAAAGUUAAAGAUUGUGUUAUCUCUAUGUUGAUCUUUGUCUACCAUGUGUGAGAUGUUGUUUCCAGGAACUUUUGGUUUGGUUCGACGGACUGUUCUUGUCAGAAUUAUGGUAAUCGCCGGUCUUUAUAUCUUCAUUGAUUGUAAUGAAAAUAGUGUUUAAAAAAUAUUUACAACUUACUAUUUUGACUUUUAUGGUAAUUUUUUGAUACAUAUGACUUUUAAGAUUUUAUAUGCUGUUGCACAGAGCUAUUUUAAUGUCAAAUAAGUUUCAUUUACAGUAUAUGAAAUGAAAAUGAGUAACCUGAAAUGUAGUUUGAGUUACUUUUUUCCUGAAAUGUUUUGCAAACUUUACUUGUAUAUAAGAUUUGAAAUAUUUUAGGGAACAAAAUUUCAUAUAAGUAAAACAGAUCAGAACAAAAAAUAUUUGUUCAAUAAUGCACUUAAAUUUAUUAAUAUUGUUUUAUGUAGAUUUUUAAUAUCGAUUAUUGUUGACUGUUUUAGAACUGAAACCAUUUAAGAUUUGUCUGACAGUGCAUUAUUAAAUAGUGAAAAUAUUAAUUUAUAUAAUAAUAUUAAUUGGAAGCGUAUUGAACAUACUAUUAAAUAUUAGUGACCUAUAUUUUAGCUGUAGAAAAAAUAUUUAUUUGUACUUGAUUUUUUUAGAAUGUGUAAAUGUUGUUUUUGUAACUUUGGUCUAAUAUAAUUUUGAUAACAUUAUAAUAAAUAAGUUUAUAUCUUAUUUGGUGUCGGACUUCUGUAAAUUAAUAUACAGGUAUGGAUAAAUUGUUUGCUAAUUAAAGACAAAGAAUAAUAGUGUACGAACCAAAAGUUCUAUUGAAAAAAUAAUUUCAAAAACAUAAAAAAUAGAAGCGGCAUUUAUACAUGAACAUCACUUUUAGAAUUUUUGGAGAAACAAAUGCAUAUUCUGAUUUCUUGGGAAUUUUAAUAUAAAACUUUACCCCAAGUUUGAUAUCACUUUUUAAAUUUAUCUUUAAAAGAUAACUAUUUUCUUUAAUAUUUUAAAUUUAAAAGCUAAAAUUAACAUUGUCAUUUAUAAAUGUUUGAUGGAGACAAACAAAAUUUGUGACAGGGACAUUGCUGGAAACUAACUCCUCGUUUGCUCCUGGGAGCUAGACGGACAUUGUUUUCUUUUCUUGAUAUGCUUAUGGCAGAAAAGAUACAGCCAAGGCCUUAGAGGACUUGGUAGGAAGAUCAGGUCCAGUUACUUAGCUCAUCAUCAUUUUUUUCUUCUGACCAUACUUCUUCUUUCUACUGAGAUAUGAAUUGCCUUUGUUGAAGGUUUUAACACUCUCUUGCUUGUAUCCUUAUAGUUGAAGAGAAGCAAUAUUCUUAACUUUGCACAUUAACUCAAGCUGUUCAAGCCCGAUUUCAAAAGCACCGGCUGGAGUCGCAUAAUAUUUUGUUUUUUCAACUCCUCAGGACAGCAGCUAAGGAAUAUAAAGACUUUGUACUCCGCAUAAAUAACCAGAUAAUACACAUCACAGACGCAUACAAUUAGCAUGAAUUACCUUGCUUGCACGGUCACACCCUAUAUCCAUGGAAAAAAUUGGUAGCCUAGGAUAGAAAAUAAAAGAGCAUUCGUUAAUCAGUAAGAAGAUAUAUGUGAGAUAAAUACCUUGAUUCAACAUUCAACAGCCGCAAAGUAAACUUACCAAAAGAGAAUGUCUGACUUCUGAUCGCCUUUUUUAUUUCUUGCCCUUGCUGUUUUAUUCCAGUCGUGGGUGUAAUGGAAUCUCUGUGAGGCAUUGACACCAGUGCAGCUUUCUGCGUUAAUGUAAUGGAAUGUACCAAAUAGUAGAGAAGCGCGACUGUUGCAUUGACACCAGUGCAGCUUUUUGCAUAAAUGUAAUAGAAUGUACCAAAUAGGAGGCAGGCUUCUAAUUUUCUUUUAAUCGCAACUCUAAUUCCUUAAUCUUCAGUCUUCUAUUUUUGUUGGUGUAGCUCAUACUGUUGCUUUGACAUUUAAAUCACUCUGAAAAAAAGAUGGUACGCUAGAAUAGCAAACUCCACUUGAGCUUCUGGUAUGGUUAGCAUUGGCAAAAAGAAAAUGUUAACAUCAAAAAAUAAGUUUUGGAAAUAAACCAGUCACAUAAUUUUCAUUGGUAUUGUUUUUUUUUGGCUUCAAAGCUUAAAUCCAGAAUGAUUAUGAAUCUUAGAGACCAAGAAAGAUAAUGUAGCUUGUUAGAUUUAGCUUUAGAGGAAUAACCAUACCGUUGCUGGCCAAGUUACAUUGGUCCAUACACAUAUCUUCUAUUCCAUUGUUUGACCUGUCCAAACAUUUUUUGAGUUUAUUCUGUCUCAGAAACAUCAAAAAAUAAAGAGGUCGUGUAACAACUAAAAACGAAACAUUCUUAAGUUGUAUUUACUUCCAGUUCAGUUCAAGUAAAGCUUUUUUGGUUAACGCACUCUGGUUGACUGGUUCUCUGCAUCACCAGGUCUUCUUCCAACUUUCACCUGUAGGGGUUUUCUGUACAUAUAACUUUAGACAAUUAAGUCCAAAAGAGAUUAAAAGAGCAUAACAAAUACACUCUAAAGUUUAUCUGUGUAGGCCAGAACAUUCUUAUGAUUCUUCAUAUAGCAAAUUAAACAUUGUUUACCUCAAAGACUUCUUUGAAUAGCUGCUUUGAGACAUUUGAUCACUCUUGUGACAUGUCUUACUGCCUAGGAUUUGACUGUAGAUACAUUGAUAUGUUUUAUGUUUUAUUCCUGGCACAAGCCCGAGAAAUAGAAGAUGGUAGAAGACCUUGCAGUUAUAAUACCAAUUUCAUCAUAUAUUAGAUAACAGGAAUUGCAUAACCUGAAACAUAUAACCUUAACAACAAUGAAAGGACUGAAUAUGACCGUUGAUACUCUUGUACAGUCAACAUUUUAACUUAUUGAGUAAGAAGAAAAUAGCAUUUGCUUCUUUGCCAAAAAAAGCAAGUGGUACGUUCAGUCUCCACCAUUUUUCUCUGCCUAUACAUUUGCUUUUUUCUUUCGCCAUUCAUAGCAAAACUGAUCAUGUCUUGACUUUCCAAAUCCCUAACUUUGCUUCUUCUUCUUCCUUCUUCUCCAUGUCCAACGCAUCAUCACUUCACGUCACUGAAGAGAGAGAAGAAGUCAUGUUUUCUGAGAAAGGUCACACCUUUAGCAAAGCCCACUUACUAAAACCCAUCGCUACCUCUUGUGAAGCCGUAGCCGAGCUUCCCCGUCAACGUCACUCUGUUUCAUCAUCUCCUACAGAGUUGCUAAACAGCUUGUCUUCAUGAGACUCCGUCUCUAGGUUUUGAGUUGCAGAGCGUCGUUUUGUCUCUUGGGUCGGAAAGAUGGAAGCUUUACACGAACCCACAUGGAGAAAAGCUGUGAUCUUUGAAGCAAUCAAGGCUUCCACUUACAACAUCACUAAGAACCCAUCUCUGCUUCUCUCUGUUUCUUAAAAAUGGUGUCCUGAAACGAACUCUUUCGUGUUCCCUUGGGGUGAAGCAACGAUAACUCUGGAGGAUGUCAUGGUGCUUCUUGGAUUCUCUGUUCUGGGCUCCCCUGUUUUGGAAUCUGUACACAGCUCCGAGAUGAGAGAUGCGGUGGAGAAGCUGGAGAAAUCAUGGCAAGAGAAGAAGGCUGGACAUGAUAUUGUGAGGGAAGGCCAUGGAUUUCAGCUUCAUGGGUAGAGGUGAUCUGGAGCAUGAAGCUUUCCUUGCAAUUAAGGAUGACAUGAGAGAAGGAACGCUGAACAGACGAAGGUUUCAACGCAACCGAAAGUUCUCCAUCGUCUUAUUCGCAAAGAAGAAGAUUUAGGCUGAUGUGGCAAGAUUUUAAAUGUUGAUUGGUUAAUUUUUUAUGCCUACGUGGAUAGGCUAAAUGUAUUCAGUUGAGCUUAUUCAACUUUUAGUAUAGUAUAGAUAUACCGGGCAAGUUUAUUCUCACAUCAAUUACACUAUAUUUGAUGUCUUAAUUCUUUUGCAAAUAUAAUUUAAUUACAUUAUUUAAUUACAUAUAUGUUUAAAUUUAUAAGUCUGAAUUAACGAAUGAGCAUAAACAUAUUGUGCGGUUUUCAAAUAUUAAAAUACAGUCAUCGCAAAAUUUUAUAAGUAUUUUUGAAAAUAAAGGUUUAGAAACAUUGAUUUUCAGGUCUUAUAUCAAAACGUUUAUAGCUUUAAUAUAUAAAAAAAAGUAAGGGUUUUGCUGCUUUUUAAAGUAUUGAUGUGCAAUACUUGUGACUUUAUUUUGGCAGUUUCAAUCAACGAAUAAUCGAAUGAAAGACGACUCAGGGAUUCACUCCCAUGGUCAACCUUCUCGGAAAAAGAAGAGGAAACAAUAUGAGGAUGAGAACAAUCCCUCAUUGACCAUCAGUCAAAAACCAAAUCGCAACUUAGGAGUAGUGUUUCAGGAUGUCACAAACAUACCUCAGAUUCAGGGUUUUUGUUGUCUCUUUCUCCUACUCUCUAUAUAGCUCGCCUUCUGUAAAUAUUAGAUCAAGAUAACCAGAAUUAUUUUGUGCAGUCGAUGAAAUUGGACAAGAAAUUUCUCCCUCAAAGAAGAACAGACUAAACAGCGAUGUUGGUUGUAAGUUAUCAAAUAGAAUGUUCAUAUCUUCCUUAGUACAGACCCACUCACUUAAGAUAUUUGUUUGCAGCCAUAGGACUCAGAAGGCUUAAAAAUAGACUAAGGCAGGCAGGAAUCAACCGUACAAGUAGCAGUAUUGAAGGUGUAAUUGAUACACAAAACAACAUAACAAGUCAGCCUACAACAGUAAAUUUUGAGGAACACGCUCCCGUGAGACGAACCUUUGGCAAACCUAUUUGUUGGACCCAAUUUUGGUCAAGAUCAAAAUGGGCCCCGAUCAAAGACAUGGGCCAAGACACGCCGAGGCCCACAACCAGAAU